rfam:Picea glauca, whole genome shotgun sequence.
GAUCAUACCAGAGUUAAUGCACCAGAUCCCAUCAGAACUUUGUAGUUAAGUGCACUUGGGCUAGAGUAGCACUGGGAUGGGUGACCUCCUGGAAAGUCCUAGUGUUGCACCCU